UACGGAGGGUGCAAGCGUUAUCCGGAUUCACUGGGUUUAAAGGGUGUGUAGGCGGGCUGUUAAGUCAGUGGUGAAAUCUCCGGGCUCAACCCGGAAACUGCCAUUGAUAUUAUCAGUCUUGAAUUCUGUUGAGGUGGGCGGAAUAUGUCAUGUAGCGGUGAAAUGCAUAGAUAUGACAUAGAACACCAAUUGCGAAGGCAGCUCACUAAGCAGCGAUUGACGCUGAGGCACGAAGGCGUGGGGAUCAAACAGG
rnacentral:rRNA from 1 species